UUUUUUUUUUUUUUUUUUGUCUGGAAAUAAUGCUGCCUUCUACUUAAUUAGGAGACUAAUGACAAACCAUGUGCAAUGUUCUUAAUUGGCACCAAGACUUUCCUUAAGAACUGGGGACAAGCCAUAAGAAUAUUAAAAGUGUUUGUAAAAGUAAUCAGGGAUGCCAGAAAAGUAAUCAUUCUUAGAUUACAUCAAUAGCAGGCCUGUUUUUAGAUAGAAGUAUAAUGUGAAAAUUUUAAAUGCUAGCCUCUGGCGUCAGUCACAACUGAAUUUAAAUUCUUUUUUUUUGUUGUUGUUUUAAAUUCUUUGUUUUUGCUUUUUUUAGGGCUGCACCCAUGCCAUAUGGAGAUUUCCAGGCUAGGGGUCGAACUGGAGCUACGGCAGCGGGUCUAUAACACAGCCACAGCAAUGCAGGAUCUGAGCUGUGACUGAAACCUACACCACAGCUCAUGGCAACCCCAGAUCCUUAACCCAUUGAGUGAGGCCAGGGAUCGAACCCGAAACCUCAUGGUUUCUAGUUGGAUUGGUUUCUACUCUGCCAGGAUGGAAAUUCUCCUGAAUUUAAAUUCUUAAUCAGUGUGUGAGAUCAGAAAGUAAAUUCACUUUAAAAUUUGAUAAUAAUAUUUAUCUUAGAGGGCUAUUGAAUGGAUUAGAUGAGAUUAUAUGAAUAUGUAAUUUACUUCUUUAGAAGUAAAUAUCUUAUUAUGGUACUAGAUGUGUAUUAAGCACUUAAUAACUGAGAGAAAAAAAGCAAUCCCAUGGAAUGAAGGAUGCAGGCCUCUUAUUGGGCUUUUCCGAUUAUCAUACUUUUGAAGAUGCUGAUUGAAAUACAAGAUAUCCGUACAUACUGUGGUACUCAAACUUGGAGAUUACUAUAUGAUACUCUUAACAUCUAUAUAUGUUUCAUUUUUUUUGUUCCCUUUCUGGUGCUUUCUUGAACUAUGAAUAAAUUGGAGAAAAUAUAAUUAGUAAGUCAAAAGUGGCAAUUACUUUUCUCUCUCUCAUGGCAAAUGGCGUCUCAUUUACUAGGGCCUCUUGAGCCAAAUGCACUAUCUUCAAGCUCUUAGGAGGUAAAAUCUAAAACUGAAAAAUGGUGAUUAAGCAACUGGUCUUGGAAUUUUUGAAGUGUAAACAAGAAUUCAUAAGACUUGGAAAUUAUUAGUGUUUCCAGUAUCAGGAUUUUUUUCUAAAGAUUGUUUAUAUGAGAGUGGAAGGCUGGUAUUUCCAUCUAAUACUUCAUAUCAAGAUUUCAUCCCUCAAGCUUUUGAUCCUUAUGGCUUGCUCUCCUUCUGUGUCAGACGUGGUGUAUAAAUGAUUACCAGGCAGUCAACAGAAGAAAUACAGGCACCCAGUGUCUGAUGUCUGCCUGAGUAUACAGCUCUGUAAUAAGUAGACGUCAGCCAGCAAGAGAGCUGGUGAAGUCUCAUGGGAAAAGAAAACACAGAUAUGGAGGUCAGGAGUCCUGGUUUACGUUCUGGGAGCUGCCUCUUAUGAUUACUGAGACCCUAGCCUUUUUACGUCCCAACUUUGAGUAACAAUAACUAGCAGCUCCUUUCUGAGGAACAUUUCUUAUCACCAAUUAAUGACGCAUUGUGAGUUGAGUUUCUUUGCUGGAAAACUUUGCUUCUUCCCUGCUUUUCUUGGCAGGAAAGCCAGUAGGGGAGAAGACCAGAUCCGAGGGUGGGGGAGGAAGACCUCUCUCUACCUUGUGACAUACACCAAAAUCGGUAGAAAGGGAAACUCAUAUCCCAAAACUUUAGGAUUCAGCAGACUUUUUGCCAAGGAACAAAGGAGAUAUUAUGACCUUCUAAGCUGUCAGAGAAUGUCAGAUGGAUGGGCCAGUUGGGUGCACUGUCCUCCCAGUGCUUGUGCCUUUGGCACAGUUCUGUCACUCUGAGAGUGCGCUAGCACGGUUGCCAUACUCGCUAUUAACACUCUCACAGUGUAUUGGCUGUUUAACUUUUUGAGCAGCCCCAGAUCAAAUGGCAACUUCACAUUAUGGGAUUAUUAGGUAACCUACUUGUACUUCAUCAAUUGUCUAUACUGACAAGAUGCAGCCAUAACAGCAAGUUAAAUCAGCCAUCAGCUGAUAGCCUGGAAUUGACUGUAAUUUUAUUUAAAAAAUUUCUCCAUUCAUUAAAUAUAUAAAUCUAUGAAAAAAUUAAUGAAAUCAUGCUUACAUGAACCACAUAUUUUAACAUUAACUCUUUGGAACCAUCAUAUUCCCUGAGUCUAUAUGCUUCCUAGAACAUAUUCUUUCCUGCAAGUGUUGACAUGGAUUAAGAGAUCACAUGUAUGUGAAUCUACUUUGCCAAGACCCUCUUAAUAACUUUCAAUACACAGGGAGAUCCCUGUAUGAAGCAUUAGUAUUAAGGAACACCAGUCUUUUUUUUUUUUUUUUUUUUUUUUUUGUCUUUUUGCCUUUUCUAGUGCUGCUCCUGAGGCAUAUGGAGGUUCCCAGGCUAGGGGUCUAAUCAGAGCUUUAGCUGCUGGCCUACGCCAGAGCCACAGCAAUGCCAGACCCUAGCCGCAUCUGAGACAUACACCACAGCUCACGGCAACGCCAGAUCCUUAGCCCACUGAGGAGGCCAGGGAUUGAACCCACAACCUCAUGGUUCCUAGUCAGAUUCGUUAACAACUGAGCCACGACGGGAACUCCAAGGAACACCAGUCUUAAAAACCAAAUGCAGUAUGUCAUAGCUUUUCUGUAUGCACCUGCUAGGAUUCAGGGGACCUAAUUUUAUCUGUUAUAUUUCAGAAUACUGGCCAUAUCUAAUAGAAUUAUACAUUAGGUUUUGGAAUUGUUCUUUAUGUAAAUAUAACCAGUGAAGCAUUCCAAAAUCCAGAAGUUCUUUUUUAUUUUGGCUUUUUAGGGCCACACCUGCAGCAUAUGGAAGUUCCCAGGCUAGGGGGUCAAAUCAGAGCUGUAGCUGCUGGCCUACGCCACGGCCACAGCAAUGCCAGAUCCGAGCUGCCUCUGUGACCUACAUCACAGCUCAUGGAAACGCUGGAUCCUUAACACACUGAGUGAGGCCAGGGAUCAAGCCUACAUCCUCAUGGGUACUAGUCAGAUUCAUUACUGCUGAGCCACAAUGAGAAAUCCUAGGAGUUUUAAGUAUGUAUGAAUAAUAAACUAGCUACAUUGACAAUGUACUCCUGGGAUUGAGAGGAGCUAAGAUUGAGAGCAAAUUUUUAAUUCUUAUCAUUGUGGUUAUUUAACAUUUUUGUAAAUUUUCACUUGUUUUGUUUUUAAUGAUGUUUCUUAUCAUUAAUUAACUGUGUCUGCUAGUGUCUUUUUAAGUCCCCACAUUUCUCAUGGCUCCUACAGCUGGAAUGUUUCAGAAUAUUGAGUCAUGGUGCAAAAAUGAUGACACUCUUGGUGUCUAGGGUAGCCUUUCUGGAUUCAGCUGAAUAUACAAAUAGAUGUUCUCAGCUGAAAUGAAGGUGGGGGGGGUUCCUUAAUGACAGGCCACUCAUCUUUUAGCAGACUAGUUAUCAUGUCUUGUAUGAGACAUCUUUCCUCCGGCUUAGAAAUCUGUAUUCUUUCUGUCAUUGUGUCUGCCUGCACUAGACCAAAAAUCAGGUUAACCCUGUCAGAACUGGCAGAUAGAUUUGAAGAACUACUUCCCACUUCUGAUUAUAACACCUCCUGUUGAAUAUGGAAAGAAUAUAUCUUUAUCUCCAUUUCUGAGUAUAAGGCAAUAAGCUAAAUAUAUCUGUCCAGCAAGGGCUGAAAAAGAUGAGACACCAGUGCACAGUCUAGCUGAGCCCAGGAUAUUCUGAGUGAUCUCAGAAUUUUAAAGAAUCAGAAGUUUAACCCAGAGAGAAACCUUAGUCAUAAUUCUGGUCUGACUUCCUCAUAUUGAGUUCCAGAGAGGAUGGCAAUUUGUUUGAGGGUUCAAGGUGAAUUAGUGGGACAGUCAAGAGUGGAUUUCACAUCCUAAUUUCCUCAGCCACAAAACAGGGAUAAUAAUGACCCAUCUCACUGAAGGGCCCUUGAUGACCAUGUUUUAUUUUCAGCACUUUCACCCAUGGGACAUUUUUAAAAAUUAUUCCAACAUAACUGUUGGGUUGUCCUGAUACUGCACAAUAUGUACAUUCCUAACCAUGAUUAUCUGAGCCUCAAGUUCCUUGUUUGUAAAAGAUGGCUAAUUUGAAUAAUCUCAUGUGAUUUGAGAGGAUCAAAUGUCUUAAAAAUGAGAAAGUGCUGUAAAUUAUAAAGUAAUAUUCAAAUACUGAUUGAUGGGAGUUCCCGUCGUGGCUCAGUGGUUAAUGAGUCUGACUAGGAACCAUGAGGUUGUGCGUCCGAUCCCUGGCCUUGCUCAGUGGGUUAAGGAUCUGGCAUUGCCAUGAGCUGUGGUGUAGGUUGCAGACAAGGCUUGGAUCCCGCGUUGCUGUGGCUGUGGCGUAGGCCGGCGGGUACAGCUCUGAUUGGACCCCUAGCCUGGGAAACUCCAUAUGCCAUAGAAGCGGCUCUAGAAAAGGCAAAAAGAUAAAAAAAAAAAAAAAUACUGAUUGACGUUAGUAUUUCUGGAAGUUGGUUUUUUUUUUUUUUUUUGUCUCUUGUCCUCUUACGGCUGCACCCUUGGCAUAUAGAGGUUCCCAGGCUAGGGGUCUAAUUGGAGCUGUAGCCGCUGGCCUACGCCAGAGCCACAGCAUCACUGGAUCCGAGCCACGUCUGCGACCUACACCACAGCUCACAGCAAUGUCGGAUCCUUAACCCACUGAGUGAGGCCAGGGAUCGAACUCACGACCUCAUGAUUCCUAGUCAGAUUCGUUUCUGCUCUGCCACAAUGGGAACUCCAGGAAGUUCUUGUCUUAAUGUAACCUCUUAUGCUUUGCAGAGAACAUCACAUGUUUGAGUUUAGUUUGGGGAUACAGUCAAGGAAUUAGUUAUCAGAAAUAAUUAACCUGAAAAGAUACCCUUGUUUAAUGGGAAAGAUGUGUUUUGAUAGCGUAGUUGGAACAAAACAAUACCAUUGUUAAGAUAUCUUGUACCCAGGGCCAAACCUAUUGAUGUUUUCUGAUAUAUCCCAUUCUCCCCUGGCCAAUGUGGCCUAAAAUCUUACUGCUAUGGGUUACGAGGACAUUGUUUUCAGAAACAGAACCAUACACAUGCAUACUAAAGUAAUAUGGGUAAGAAAGAAAGAAAAUUGAAAUAUAAAUAAAUUAUACCCAAAUUCUUUAUUUUAAAAUGAUUCCAUGUACAGAAUUGUAAUAAUUGAGUGCUAAUAUACAUAUCAUGAAAUUCCAAACACACUAUGGUGUGUUCUUUUUAUAUUUGUAAGAUUAAAAAAAACUCAGACAAUAUCUAUUUAAACUAGUGAUUGGAAAAUAUAAAUUGAGAAAGUUGGACAUAGUUUGCCUUAGCUAGUUUCCUGCUAAUCCAAACCUUAGGGAGAUUGAUGGGAAGGAGGCUGACAGAAGCAUAGUUUGGUCAACUUGUCCUGUUCUGAGGCAACAGUCUUUAGGACAUUUGCUUCAAUAUGGAAUCAGCUGGAUAUCAGUAUCAAUGGUUCCAGUUAUGUUUCCUAUAUAAGGAUUCUGAUGAUCAGUUUUAGCCACAGAGGCACUAUCCAUGCUUUUUGGAAUGAGGAUAGCUAUAAACAAUAGAUCAAGGAGUAUAAAAUUUUCUUGACUUUUGCACUCAGUCUACAUAUGGUUUCCAUUUCUUCCUUCAAAACAUAUUCAC
rnacentral:lncRNA from 9 species